rnacentral:lncRNA from 1 species
UCAUGUUGUGGUGACCCCUAACCAUAAAAUUAUUUUCGUUGCUACUUCAUAACUGUAAUUUUGCUAUUGUUAUAAAACUUAAUAUAAAUAUCUGAUAUGCAGGAUUUACUUUCGUUGUUAGAAAUUGAACAUAAUUAAAGCAUAGUGAUUAAUCACAAAAACGAUAUAUAAUUAUAUAUUGUGAAAUAUUUAUUUCUAAUUAUCAAUAAAUGAAAUUUUGUCUUGAAGCAUGGUGUAGCAUGGGUAACAGUCUUAAUAUAACAACAGUAAACUACAUUGCUACAUUUUGCGACAGUAUACAUAAAAAGCCAAUGUCAGUGCGAAGGUU